GUAGAUCAGGGUUUGACUCCGGAGAGGGAGCCUGAGAGACGGCUACCACAUCUAAGGAAGGCAGCAGGCGCGUAAAUUACCCAAUCCUGACACAGGGAGGUAGUUACGAUUAAUAACAAUGUCGGGUCUUUUUAGAUCUGACAAUUGGAAUGAGAACGAUGUAAACAUCCUAUCGAGGAUCAAUUGGAGGGCAAGUCUGGUGCCAGCAGCCGCGGUAAUUCCAGCUCCAAUAGCGUAUAUUAAAGUUGUUGCAGUUAAAAAGCUCGUAGUUGAAUUUCUGGUAUAGGUGGCCGACCUUCCACUUGGUGGAUUAUGCGGUAGCCUUUGCCUUUUUUGAGUUGAGUUUGGGUGGCAUUAAUUUGUUGCUCUUACAAUACUCAUCAUUUACUGUGAAGAAAUUAGAGUGUUCAAAGCAGGCGUAGGCUGUGAAUACAUUAGCAUGGAAUAAUAAAAUAGGACUUUGGUACUAUUUUGUUGGUUUACAGACCAAAGUAAUGAUUAAUAGGGACAGUUGGGGAUAUUCGUAUUUCAGUGUCAGAGGUGAAAUUCUUGGAUUUCUGAAAGACGAACUACUGCGAAAGCAUUUAUCAAGGAUGUUUUCAUUAAUCAAGAACGAAAGUUAGGGGAUCGAAGAUGAUUAGAUACCAUCGUAGUCUUAACCAUAAACUAUGUCGACUAGGGAUCGCCAGCUGUUUUUUUAUGACACUGACGGCACCUUAUGAGAAAUCAAAGUCUUUGGGUUCUAGGGGGAGUAUGGUCGCAAGGCUGAAACUUAAAGAAAUUGACGGAAGGGCACCACCAGGAGUGGAGCCUGCGGCUUAAUUUGACCCAACACGGGAAAACUUAUCAGGUCCAGACAUAGUGAGGAUUGACAGAUUGAGAGCUCUUUCUUGAUUCUAUGGGUGGUGGUGCAUGGCCGUUCUUAGUUGGUGGAGUGAUUUGUCUGGUUAAUUCCCUUAACGAACGAGACCCCUGCCUGCUAAAUAACUUUGCUAAUGCUUUUGUAUUGGUUGGAGUUUCUUAGAGGGACUUUCGGUGACUAACUGAAGGAAGUUGGGGGCAAUAACAGGUCUGUGAUGCCCUUAGAUGUCCUGGGCCGCACGCGCGCUACACUGAUGCAUUCAGCAAGUUCUCCCCUUGGCCGAGAGGCUUAGGUAAGCUUGUUAACGUGCUUCGUGAUAGGGAUUGAAUCUUGCAAUUUUUAUUCAUGAACGAGGAAUUCCUAGUAAACGCAGAUCAUCAAUCUGCAUUGAUUACGUCCCUGCCCUUUGUACACACCGCCCGUCGCACCUACCGAUUGAAUGGUCCGGUGAGGCCUCGGGAUCGUGGCAAACUUCCUUCACUGGAGGUGAGCUGUGAGAACUUGUCCAAAUCUUAUCAUUUAGAGGAAGGUGAAGUCGUAACAAGGUU
rnacentral:rRNA from 1 species